ensembl:lncRNA
GGCUUUUUUGACGUGGGGAACGAUUGCUUACAUUUCCAAAGCAAAUGGAAAACAAAGAUUAAUAAGGUAUUUGCAUAUGCAUAAGUUUCAAAAGGAUGUAGGCAUUUAAGAUUUUAUUUUGUUAACUGUGUAUAGGGUUUAUCUAAUAGUCUUCUGUCCAGAGCCAGGUCUAUAUAUGGUGACCUCUUGAAGCAGCUAGUUAGCGCCAAUCUUUCAGGUCUAGCCCAGAAACCCAGUGUGAAACAUGACAAAGAACCAAGCAUAAACAAUGUCCUCUGUCCAAUCAUAAUGUAAUUUGGUCUUGUGUUGUAUUUGUCUAUUAGCCCAGGGCUUAUAUUUGUCUAUUAACCCCCUUAGGGUUUUUCAAAUACCUAAGGGUAAAUACUUAGUUCAAUGUUAAGAAAACGCUUGUGUGAAUGCAUGGCAUUGUGACCUUUUUUGCUGAAUCACUUCUUGCUUAGAUUCUCUAUCAGGGCAAAUGUCUGACAGUAUGCAUGCAGGAGAUCUAGAGUCUGAUGUAGGCCUUGCGUCACGGAGAACAGAAGCACCAGUCUGAUGUAGGCCUUGCAUCACGGAGAACAGAAGCACCAGUCUGAUGUAGGCCCUGGGUCACGGAGAACAGAAGCACCAGUCUGAUGUAGGCCCUGGGUCACGGAGAACAGAAGCACCAAUCUGAUGUAGGCCCUGGGUCACGGAGAACAGAAGCACCAGUCUGAUGUAGGCCCUGGGUCACGGAGAACAGAAGCACCAAUCUGAUGUAGGCCUUGCGUCACGGAGAACAGAAGCAAACGAUCAGAUCCAUUAGUGGCAGUCUGGUCAGCUGCAGACUUUAGUGCCCUUUCUAAAAUGUUGAUUAAAUGUAAAAAAAAUACUACACUCCCAGCCAUGACUUGCUUUCACCUCGAUCCUCGUCACUCUCAAAUCUCCCCUCUCAAUCCUCACCUCCUCUCUUCACUUCCUUCCCUCCUAUCCCCUCAUUUCUCAGUCAUCUCCUCCCUCUCCCCUUUCUGUCCUCUCCCCUUUGCCUUUCUCCCUCUCCUUUCAGCCCUCGGGGCCCUAGCUCUAACAAUCUCUG